rnacentral:lncRNA from 1 species
GGGCAUAGGGCCAGGCACAGAAGGGCAGGCGGCAGGAUCCCAGGUGCUGGGAGAAGGUGAUGGUGAGGAGCAUGAGCCUGGGAAGAGGCACAGGUCACCAUGCAGCAUCACGGAUACGGGGCCCCAGACGUGUGCCUUGCACCGUGGGGAUGCCUCUCUCCUGUCCCUAUGGCAGGGAAGCACACAGGGCUGCACAGCAGCUUGGCUCCCAGACUGACGUACAGCAGCGCUACCCCCCAGUUGGCAGAGCAGAAGAAAGCAGCCUCCUUGUAGGCAGACAGCCCGAUGAUAGAGAGGCUGGGGGCCAGGACCAUGGGCCCACAGCGCUGCACUGCCCAGCCGCACACACCCAGUGCUCCUAGCACCAGCUGGACCAGCCCGGAGAUCAGCACAGCCCCAGACACCUGUGGGGAAAGGAAUGGAAUAUACUGAGAGCAUCCCAAUCCCUCCCAGUCACCCCUAAAUGAACACCUGUUCCCUGUGCUCCAACCCUGUGCUCACCCCAAGCUCACAGGAACCCAUGUGCACCAUCAUUCCCCCUACCUCUGCACACCUCCUUGUGCCCCCCACUACUCAUAGCAAUCCCCUGGAGAGCUAUGGCAGAGAUGGGACAGGGGCUGAGGGGCACAGAUAGCAACAGGAGCACAGGAGGAGCACCCACCUCUUGCAGUGAGGUGGCUCUGCUCUCCAUGAUGGUACAGUGCGGUUCAGGGCACACGGUGGCCACAGCCAUGCCUGGAAGGGAAUUUCAGAAGGAUGCGAGACUCACGGGCACUGAGAGCCCACCUGGGGUGAAGCUUGCAGAACAUCAGGUCUGAGGGCAUGCAGCAUGGGACUAUUGGCUGGAGAAGGGCACAGAAAGCAUAACCCAGACAGCACUGCCCCUGGCUCUGGACAUGAUGCAGGCCACGAAUCAUGCAUUUGUGGCCCCAUACCCAUUGUCUUUGUAACCAAGAUGAGCGGGGUACUGUGUACCAUCACCAGAGGAGCCAGCCAGCAGGACCCUUUACUAUCCCUCACCCCUACCCAGAUGCACUGGCAUGACCAAGGACCCCACAGGAUACAGGGGAGAGGUUCCAUGGCUGUGCUCACCAUUCCCGUCUUCACUGACGCCGAGGGACAGGUGGGAGCUCAGCACCAAGGCAGGGACCAGGGCUAAGCAGCAGCUCAGCGUCCAGGAGCACAUCUUUGGCCAGGAGCAGGAUGUGAGUGCAGGGCUCCCAGCACCAGUCACUGGAUGGCGGCCCCCAUUCAUGCUGCUGCCUCCCCUCAUUGCCACCCAGUUUGCAGGGCAGGGUCUCACCCCCCCCAAGGAAUCCACGCAGUCCCUACAGGGCUGAACUUCCACCUUCUGCAGAAGCUGCUCUAGGGUUAGCCAUUAACCUGAGUUGGUGAGUAACCUGCCCUUACAGCCAGGAAUGCAAGUGUCACUAUGGGAUGUCACCAUAAAGGCCAGGUGACAACUGCCUCUGGCUGGGAACUGCACAUUGCCACAGUACCAAUUGCCUGUAGGUUGGGUCUCACUCAGGCCCCUGCAUCCACCCCUGCUUCUUCUAGUACACAGAGCAGGGACUGUGCCAGAGCUCAGAAGGCACCUUCCCACACAUGCUUGAAGUAUCUGCACCC